AUUGAACGCUGGCGGCAUGCCUUACACAUGCAAGUCGAACGGUAACAGAUCUUCGGAUGCUGACGAGUGGCGAACGGGUGAGUAAUACAUCGGAACGUGCCCGAGAGUGGGGGAUAACGAAGCGAAAGUUACGCUAAUACCGCAUACGAUCUACGGAUGAAAGCGGGGGAUCGCAAGACCUCGCGCGAAUGGAGCGGCCGAUGUCAGAUUAGGUAGUUGGUGGGGUAAAGGCUCACCAAGCCGACGAUCUGUAGCUGGUCUGAGAGGACGACCAGCCACACUGGGACUGAGACACGGCCCAGACUCCUACGGGAGGCAGCAGUGGGGAAUCUUAGACAAUGGGGGAAACCCUGAUCUAGCCAUGCCGCGUGAGCGAUGAAGGCCUUAGGGUUGUAAAGCUCUUUCAGAUGGGAAGAUAAUGACGGUACCAUCAGAAGAAGCCCCGGCUAACUCCGUG
rnacentral:rRNA from 1 species